GGGCUGCUUAACUAUGGUUAUUAUUUUCUAAUCUAAAAAAAAUAUAAUAUAUCUUAAAAUUAUUGAUUUUAUCUUUAUUGGCUAUUCUCUUAAUAGUAAUAACUAUUAUUUUUUUGUUAUUCAUUUUAAUUUCAAUGAUAUAUCUAUUAGUACCAUUAUUGAAUCUAAAGAUACAAGCUUCUUUGAAAAUGUAUUUCCUUUC
rnacentral:lncRNA from 1 species